rnacentral:rRNA from 1 species
CCGGCCGCCCACGGAGCUCGCAAAGUUCGGAUCCGCAAGGACCGGGCCAGCGGGACGUCCGCGUGGCAGGGUGCACUUUCUCCGCGGUCGAGUGCUACGACCGGUUUCGCGGCGGUCAGAAGCCCGGCGGAAAGGUAGCGCCGCCCCUCGGGGUGUCGUGUUAUAGGCCGCCGCGGUGGACUCGCCGCGAGACCGAGGACGCUUGCCGCGCCGAGCGGUCCCGGGCCGUCUUGGGAGGUUCGACCUCGGCUGCACUGCUCCGCAGAGCACCGUAACCGCCGCCCUAGCACGGGUCCGGAGACUGCCGGCGCCUCGGGUCAGUAGCG